CUGUUUAGCAAAUACUACACUACUUCCAAAAAAUAGCACGAGAGUGAAGACAACUGGUAUAUUGAGAUCAAAAAUAAUAAUACAAAGUGUCUUUUUCCAUCUUUCACAAGUAAUACACCCUGGGAGAAGAAAAGGUUCAUUACCUUUGUCAAACCAAAUACCGCAGUAGUCACAUAUGGCUUUUUUUUUUUUUUUAUAAUUUAAAUAAAACACAUACCAUGUGGAAGCAGAUCAUAAGCAGGGCAGAAUAACACUGGCACAUCUUCAUGUGUUUUUUGAGUCCAGAUCUGGUUUAGUAAAGAUCAGGUCCACCCGUGGCAAGGUCUUGUGUCAGUAUUCCUAAAAGCACAAAACCUAUCAUGCUCAAGAUAUGAGGAAAUAUAGGAAAUUAGUGUUAACAAACAAACAACAAAUAACAAGAAAUGGUCAAAAGUUAUGUUAUUUCAUUUAACGGUAUAAUUAUGUUGCAAACAAGUUAAAAUGUAUAUGAAUGUAAACAGAAAGUAAAAAGCUAUAAAACUGGUUUACUGUUUUAAUUAAGCUUUUACCAUUUUAUUAACCUCUUAAUGUUUUCGCAGAUCCUGCGGUGUGACAAAUAAAUGUUAAAAAUUACAAACACACCAUGCAGCCUCUUGAAGUCAUAAAAACGUUCAAUAAAAUUACAGUAAUGUUGUUUAAAUUAGCUUUAAAUGGAGCACAGAAUGACACUGCAGGAAACCGCAGAGCUUUCACAGCUUAAAAUGUCAAGUUCCCAAAUAAGUACUGAGCAAUAUUAAUGAACAAGCAAUUAUUUUGAGAAGAGGUUUAUAGUUUUUUUUUUUUUUGUUGUUAUAUAAAGUCAUGAUAUUACAUGAAAUAAGGGCACCAAACUAAGUAACGCAAAAGCUUUACCAUAUAAAUAAAAUAGCAAAUUAUGUGUAAUAAUCAGUAAUCAGUUGUAGUAUAACUCACCCCUUUACUGUAGAGUUGAACCCAUACAUCUCUGUGCAGUGAGCAUACUUAUAGUGUAGUUAUCGGAGUGCACAAAGAGAUGAAGACAAACAUCGCUCCUCGACAGUCCAAACUCAAAGUGACCAGCAAUAAAAACUUCUUUGCAUUUGAUUAAAAGAAUAUAAUCUUCUUCUUUACUCAGCGUGGUUCAUGUCCAGCUGCAUUAAAUCCUCUUAGCUCUGCUCAUUUGGUUGCAUGGCUUUCCUCUGCAACACUCACAUAACCUUAACACGAUUAUGUGUGGAUGUGAUUGUCCAUCUAAAAGAAAAUUAUAAUAAUAACAAUAAUAAAACUGCUCUCUAAGCAGUCCCCUGGGUAAAAGUCCGGUUUUGCUGCAUCCUUGCCCGCUCGCUCUUCCUAAAGUGAUGUUGUGUGAUGGAUCAGUGCGCUUUUAGGUUGUGACAGUGGAGUCACUGAGCCCAACCCCUCAACAUCAGCACCAAUAACAGCACACAUCACACUUUAAAGCUUUUUAUGUAUGUAAAUCAAUUUAAAACCACUGAGUGUUAAAACAGCAGAAGACUUGCCUUGUGGGCAGUUUUUAUUUUCGAGUUAAAAAAGUUAUUCUGAAGCAUUUUGGCUCUUUUAUCAUCAUGAGACCCUGCAAAAAUAAAAUAAAUUUUAUGUAAAUAUAACAUUUCCAUAGUAUUAUAUUAAGAUUUUUUUUUUAUUAUUAUUUAUUUGUUAUAAAUAUUGGGAUAGUUAAUUGGGAUAGUCUAAGAUCCAGUGAAUGUUUCUCAGGGUGGCUUGGUAGCAAAAAGCUAUUGAAAAUUUAACCCACAAAAAAUAAAAAUCCACACACGUUUCGCUUACCAUCACCUUAAAUCAGUUUGAUAAAAGUGUGAGAAAAUAUAUUUUUUAAGUCAUAUAUUGUAAUAUUUAAAAAUAUAGGAGUGAAGAUAUGCAAGUUUAUUUGGAAACAGCUCCGCUCUGUGGUUAUUACAGUAACUGCGGUUCAAGCCACUGUGAAGUCAACAGCAUACUAAAACAAGACUUAUUUACUCAUGCAAAUGCUAAUGUUAGAACACAAACAACUGGAACAAUAAAUAAACAUCAGCAGACUUUUGAUGAUAUCUAUUAACAGAAUUAGCAAACCUUUACAGUUGUGACGUGUCUCUUCAAUUAAACAAAAUGACUAAAAGCCCUAAUUACAAAACUUCAAUAGAGACUCAUUUGCAGGAUUCCUUAAUAAUCUGGUUCUGAUUCUUCACCAGUGUGGAUAACAUUGACAUGAAGUUGGGCUUCUGUACGGCAGGUUUUGUAACACCAGACGCAGACACUUUCUUCUGGUUCCCUCGUUUAAUCUUGGGCUUCACGCUGAACAGAUCUGUGGGUGUCCUGAACCCAUCCAAAUCCUCAGAAAUCUCUUCCUGCUGCUCAUUCUGGAAACCGUUCUGAGCUUGACGAAUCUCUCCACGUUUGUGCUUCUGCCGAGGGCUUUUCCUCUGUUCCGCUGUUUCCACAGCAACAGUUUUAGUGGUGUCAUCAAACUUCAGCACCCGCCGCGUUCCAUCUAUGCCAUCAGACACUUCCUGCUUGUUCGAUUUACCCCGGACAUAAGUCGUCCUCUGUUUGCUAGAGACCUCUGAGUUCUGCUUCAAAUCUGCAUUUAAUCUUGAAAUCUUGUCAUCUACAAGAAGUUUGUCCUUCUGCUUCACACUAAGGUCGAGUGGAUAAAGCUGCUGAGAUAAUGUGCUGUUCAAGGAAGGCUUCCUUUUCACAGAAGACUGCCAGCCAGCGAUGGGCGGCCAGACCACAGAUCGUGACCUCUUACGAUGCCGUGGUUUGGCUUUGUUAAUGGACAGUCUCUGGCAUUCUCUGCAUCUUACAGUAUAAACAUGACAAGAGGGCGAGCUGGGACCCGAUUCCACCAUGAGAUCGGUACUGGAUUCUUCCAAAACAGACUCAAGCUCUCCUCGAGACUCAACCUCAGUCUUGGUCUCAGAGGUGUUAGCCCUCAGCCUGAGUUUCCCUAGAGUGUCCUCAGCGAUAGCAUCUGGAGCCAGGGAGAUCUUCUGAACCGCUCCAUGCUGUGGUUCCACAUCAGAAAGCUGUCUCUCAUAUUCUUUUCUCGCUCGACAUGAUGCACCAGCUCUACUCUUCCUUACUGGCCUCUUCAUAUCACGAAUAACAGACACAUUGUCUUUUAUAUCCUCCACACUAGAGUCAGUGUCACUCAGCACCACAGAGUCCUUCACAUGCUCUUGCUGUUGAAGCCUUCUGCUUCUCAGGACUGUCUUGCGCCGCAGUUUCAUAGAGACAGAUUUGGUAGUAACCUCACUGAGAACCAAGAUAUUCACCU
ensembl:lncRNA